rnacentral:rRNA from 1 species
AAGUCCUUCGGGAUGAGUAGAGCGGCGCACGGGUGAGUAACACGUGGGUAAUCUGCCUUUAGGCCUGGGAUAACUCGGGGAAACUCGAGUUAAUACCGGAUAAGACCACGCGACGAGAGUUGCGCGGGAAAAGCGGGGGAUCUCUUCGGAGACCUCGCACCAAAAGAUGAGCCCGCGUCCCAUUAGCUAGUUGGUAGGGUAAUGGCCUACCAAGGCGAAGACGGGUAGCUGGUCGGAGAGGAUGAUCAGCCACACUGGAACUGAGACACGGUCCAGACUCCUACGGGAGGCAGCAGUGGGGAAUAUUGGACAAUGGGGGCAACCCUGAUCCAGCCAUGCCGCGUGAGUGAUGAAGGCCUUCGGGUUGUAAAGCUCUUUUGGCGGGGACGAUGAUGACGGUACCCGCAGAAUAAGCCCCGGCUAACUUCGUGCCAGCAGCCGCCGUAACAC